AUUGAACGCUGGCGGCAUGCCUUACACAUGCAAGUCGAACGGCAGCGCGGGGCAACCUGGCGGCGAGUGGCGAACGGGUGAGUAAUAUAUCGGAACGUACCCUGGAGUGGGGGAUAACGUAGCGAAAGUUACGCUAAUACCGCAUACGAUCUAUGGAUGAAAGCAGGGGACCGCAAGGCCUUGUGCUCCAGGAGUGGCCGAUAUCUGAUUAGCUAGUUGGUGGGGUAAAGGCCUACCAAGGCAUCGAUCAGUAGCUGGUCUGAGAGGACGACCAGCCACACUGGAACUGAGACACGGUCCAGACUCCUACGGAGGCAGCAGUGGGGAAUUUUGGACAAUGGGCGCAAGCCUGAUCCAGCAAUGCCGCGUGAGUGAAGAAGGCCUCGGGUUGUAAAGCUCUUUGUCAGGGAAGAAACGGUUAGUGGCUAAUAUCCAUGGCUAAUGACGGUACCUGAAGAAUAAGCACCGGCUAACUACGUGCCAGCAGCCG
rnacentral:rRNA from 1 species